rnacentral:rRNA from 1 species
UAUGAAAGACGUUUUCGACCCUCGGGUGGACAGGGAGACAGGUGGUGCAUGGUUGUCGUCAGCUCGUGUCGUGAGAUGUUGGGUUAAGUCCCGCAACGAGCGCAACCCCUACGUUUAGUUGCUAACGCGUGAAGGCGAGCACUCUAGACGAACUGCCGUUGACAAAACGGAGGAAGGUGGGGAUGACGUCAAAUCAUCAUGCCCCUUAUGUUCUGGGCUACACACGUGCUACAAUGGCCGGUACAGACGGACGCAAAGCCGCGAGGUGGAGCAAAUCCUAAAAAGCCGGUCUCAGUUCGGAUUGCAGGCUGCAAUUCGCCUGCAUGAAGUCGGAAUCGCUAGUAAUCGCAGGUCAGCAUACUGCGGUGAAUACGUUCCCGGGCCUU